UGAAUACGAGAUGCUACGGCGUCGAAGCAGUCUAUGUCAUACUUCCAAGAAAAGCUCGCACUGUCAUAAACAAAUAAUGCCUGUACCAUAACCGACACAGGUGGGUAGGUAGAGUAUACUAAGGGGCGCGAGAUAACUCUCUCUAAGGAACUCGGCAAAAUGACUCCGUAACUUCGGGAGAAGGAGUGCCUUACUUAUAAGGUUGCAAUAACAAGAUCCAAGCAACUGUUUAUCAAAAACACAGGUCUCCGCUAAGUCGUAAGACGAUGUAUGGGGGCUGACGCCUGCCCAGUGCCAGAAGGUUAAAGAAGUUGGUUAGCAUUCGCGAAGCUGAUAACUGAAGCCCUGGUGAACGGCGGCCGUAACUAUAACGGUCCUAAGGUAGCGAAAUUCCUUGUCGGGUAAGUUCCGACCCGCACGAAAGGCGUAAUGAUUUGGAUACUGUCUCGGAGAGGGGCUCGGUGAAAUAGACUUGUCUGUGAAGAUGCGGACUACCUGCACCAGGACAGAAAGACCCUAUGAAGCUUUACUGUAACUUGAGAUUGAAAUUGGACUUUACUUGCGCAGUAUAGGUGGGAGGCGUUGAUAAUAUUCUUGCGGGAUUAUUUGAGCCAUCAGUGAGAUACCACUCUUGUAAUGUUAGAUUUCUAACUUUGUAUCAUUAUCUGGUCAAAGGACAGUUUCAGGCGGGCAGUUUGACUGGGGCGGUCGCCUCCUAAACGGUAACGGAGGCGCACAAAGGUUUCCUCUGAACGGGUAGAAAUCGUAUCUAGAGUGUAAAGGCAUAAGGAAGCUUGACUGUGAGACCUACAAGUCGAGCAGGGACGAAAGUCGGUCUUAGUGAUCUGACGGUGCUGAGUGGAAAGGCCGUCACUCAACGGAUAAAAGUUACUCUAAGGAUAACAGGCUGAUCUCCCCCAAGAGUUCACAUCGACGGGGAGGUUUGGCACCUCGAUGUCGGCUCAUCGCAUCCUGGGGCGGUAGUACGUCCCAAGGGUUGGGCUGUUCGCCCAUGAAAGCGGUACGCGAGCUGGGUUCAGAACGUCGUGAGACAGUUCGGUCCAUAUCCGGUGUAGGCGUUAGAAUAUUGAGAGGAGCCUUCUUUAGUACGAGAGGACCGAGAAGGACAUACCUCUGGUGUACCAGUUAUCGUGCCAACGGUAAACGCUGGGUAGCUAUGUAUGGAGUGGAUAACCGCUGAAAGCAUCUAAGUGGGAAGCCCACCUCAAGAUAAGUAUUCUCU
rnacentral:rRNA from 1 species